GGUUGUAGCUCAGCAGUAGAGCACUCGCCUAGCACAUGCGAGGCCCUGGGUUCAAUCCACAGCACCA
rnacentral:tRNA from 1 species